rnacentral:siRNA from 1 species
GUAAAUUAGUCCAAUUUCUCCUC